AUUUUUUAGUUCAAAUUCUUAAUCAAUUUGCAAUCCAUUACGUAAAUAAUUUUCAUAAUUAUUUAGACCCUGAAAAUUUGUAUCUAUUGAAGACAUACUGUAUUGCUCAGAAUAGCAAUGAAGAUGGUAUUCGUAGAGCAUAUUAUCAUAAUAUUUUCACUAUUGCUCAGAGAUAUUUAUAAAAAUAGUCAAGUUUACAGUUAUUUUUUUUUAAAUAAAUAAUUUUAAUUUAUGUUUUAGUACCUUUAUCUGUAUUAUUCAGUAUAAUGACUAUAAAUAAUGCAUGUUUACAAUCAAUCAAAAGUUAAA